rnacentral:lncRNA from 1 species
AGUAUUCUCAUCUGCAGAAUAAUCCAGCUACACCGAGAAUGGAAAAGCAGAGUCAAGACCUGAUUCUCUCCAAAUGAUGCCCAGGCUGCAUAUGUGGGAGCAGCGAAACCUCCCUAAAGAAGCUGCGGAGUGUCUAUGGAAAUAUUCACAGCAAGAGCUUAAGAAAGUGCUAUGAGACUUUCCUUGCUACAUGUACAGAUAGAGAUCAUUCAAAUUGAUCCCAGAUAGUCUGAAUACAUUCUGUCCUCUGAAGGAAGAGUUUGCUCUGCCCUAGGAACA